AAGUAUUAAUCCAUCAGUAAAUUCUUUCUUUCUGUGUGUUUUGUGCGACGGGCAGGAAGCAGAAGAAAACAAGCGCCCUGGUUUCUCUCCUCGUUGCGCACAGGAGACAAGCCUGCGGUGGCGAGUCGCGCGUGAAGGUAGGGCGAGGGAAUACGGGCGAUGCCGCGAUCGCCCCGCCGGUCCGUCGCCGUCGCCUUUGCCUUUAUAUGGGGAAAGAGGCCUUCGUGGGUGGCGUCCGUCGCUGGUUCCACCGCCGCAUCGCCAGCGCCUCAUCCGUGAGCCAAGAACAGGACGAAGAGGAGGAGGAGGAGAAGAAACGGGAUCAGAGUUAUCGAGGACUCUGGCAUUUCUAGUCUUGGAUUCCUCAGGUUCCCCAGGUGGCCGCCAUGGAUCCCCACAAGAAGAAUAUGCUUGAGACUGAAUUCUUCACGGAGUACGGUGAAGCGAGCCGAUAUCAGAUGCAAGAGGUCGUCGGCAAGGGAAGCUAUGGGGUAGUCGGGGCUGCGAUAGACACCCAUACUGGAGAGAGGGUGGCGAUCAAGAAGAUCAAUGAUGUGUUUGAGCAUGUUUCUGAUGCCACUCGCAUUCUCAGGGAAAUCAAAUUGCUUAGGCUGCUUCGCCACCCUGAUAUUGUAGAAAUUAAGCAUAUAAUGCUUCCCCCAUCUAGGAGGGAAUUUAAAGACAUUUAUGUUGUUUUUGAGCUGAUGGAAUCAGACCUUCAUCAAGUUAUAAAGGCAAAUGAUGAUCUCACACCUGAACACCACCAGUUCUUCUUAUACCAGCUACUUCGAGCUAUGAAGUAUAUUCAUUCAGCUAAUGUAUUUCAUCGGGAUUUAAAGCCAAAAAAUAUCCUUGCCAAUGCGGAUUGCAAAUUAAAAGUUUGUGACUUUGGCCUUGCCCGUGUAUCAUUUAAUGAUGCCCCGUCAGCUAUUUUCUGGACUGAUUAUGUGGCAACAAGAUGGUAUCGUGCUCCUGAAUUAUGUGGCUCCUUUUUCUCCAAGUACACCCCUGCGAUUGAUGUUUGGAGCAUAGGCUGCAUAUUUGCAGAAAUGCUUACAGGGAAACCAUUGUUUCCUGGCAAGAAUGUGGUGCAUCAGUUAGAUCUCAUGACUGAUCUGCUUGGAACUCCUUCACCUGAAUCCAUUGCUAGGAUUCGAAAUGAAAAGGCUAGAAGAUAUUUAAGUAAUAUGCGCAAAAAACCACCAGUUCCUUUCUCACAAAAGUUUCCUGGUGUGGAUCCUUUGGCUCUUCGUUUGCUUGAGCACCUACUUGCAUUUGAUCCUAAAGAUCGACCAACCGCUGAAGAGGCACUAGCGGAUCCAUACUUUAAUAAUCUGUCAAAUGUUGAGCGCGAACCUUCAACACAGCCUAUAUCAAAACUUGAAUUUGAGUUUGAAAGGAGGAAAUUGUCAAAAGAUGAUGUAAGAGAGCUAAUUUAUCGAGAGAUAUUGGAGUAUCAUCCUCAGAUGCUGCAGGAGUAUCUACGUGGUGCAGAUCAGACUAACUUUAUGUACCCAAGUGGUGUUGAUCGUUUUAAGCGACAAUUUACUCAUCUUGAAGAACACUUUGGUAAGGGUGAAAGAAGCACUCCGCUUGGGCGGCAACAUGCAUCCUUGCCCAGGGAGAGGGUGGGCGCAAAUAAAGAUGAGAUCCCUGAUCAAAAUAAUGACUUUGAAAAGCAAAGUGCAGAUUCCGUUGCUCGUGGUACACUUGAAAGCCUCCCAAAGUCACAGCAGAGUGAGAGAUUAGAUCAUGCAUCAGUUACAGAUGGCACAAACAGGCCAAAUUACAAUGCUCGUAGCUUGUUGAAGAGUGCUAGCAUCAGCGCUUCCAAGUGUGUAGUUGUCAAAGGAAGGAAGGAUUCAGAAGUGGAAGUGAUAUGCUUGUUCCCACUGAUGGCUAAUUCACAGUCAAGGUUGUUUAGAAGUCUUUCUCUGGGCUAUCUACCCUUCCAGAUAGAUGAAGACAAAACAACCUUGGACUAAUGGCAGCUUUUUGUGUGUGUGUGUGGUUCUGUGUUCCAUGAUGAAUUAAUAUGAGUCUUCAUUUCUGACACAAUUAAUGGACUUCAGCAAACUUUUCCCAGCCAAAUUCUAAGAGAGAGAAAAAAGCAAAAGGAUGAGCAAUUCAUAAAAAUUCUUCUGUUAUGCAAGCGACGCUCAACUGCUUCAUGCUUUCUACCCUGUUCGGUGAUCUUGACAAUUUAACUAUGUUAUUCUAUUAUUUUCUAACUUCCUAAUGAGCAGUAUCAGAAAUUUCAUGUCCAUAUUGGCAGAAUUAUUUCGAACUGCUCGAUUCGGCGUGUAUUGAGCCGUACCGACGGUGGACUAGGAGGAACCGAUUUCUGAGAACACAGAAGAGAAGGCCGAUGGCUUGUCCCAAAAGGUAGCCGAAUUGUAUGCCUAACAACCGGAAAGUUAUGAGAAUACAUAGGUGGAAGAUUAGUCAAGAUUAGGAUGUAAGCCCUGAACUCCAAGUUUCAGGUCAGAUCAUCUAAGAUUGUUACUAAACAUGGCAUCUUCACUUUUGUUGCUAAUGGGGGUGAAUUAGUUGUUAAUUAUGAUCUGGGGUUGCCUCAGUUCGAUCCCAUAUGUUGUUUUCUCAGUAAUGCUAUAUGUUCGCAUUGUUGCUGGAAGAUUAAUAUCACUUGUCGUGAGCGCAUGCUGCUGGUAUUUGUAUUUUUGAUGGGAAAAAAGUCUACAAAGAAGAAACAUCCUUGGCUGAAUCGCUGAUUGCACUAGUGUAUGUAUGGUUCUCAGCCUCCAUCAGGUUACUGAUGUACUGGAGCUCAUGAUUGUGGACAGGACCCAGUCCUGCCCAGUUCAGGUUUUAAAGCAACAAUGCCCGAGACUCAUGCUGAGUUUUAUUUCCAUUGCAUUAGUUCACCAACUUCCAGCUGAGGAAUAUCAAGAAAAGCCUGCAAUAGUAUUAAUCUUCUGCUUGGCUUGAAACAUUGGAUGGCCCUAUCAAAUUUUACUAUUUCCAAUGUAAUCUUUAAAACAUCAUUCCAUUUAAACAGAAGGGGAAUGUUAAAC